AGCUUUAUAGUCAAAAAUGAUUUUAAAUUGCAAAUUUAAAGGUGGAUAACUUCUAAGGCUU
rnacentral:tRNA from 1 species